rnacentral:rRNA from 1 species
CUAUGUGUUGUUGGGUAGGGGAGCGUUCUGUAAGCCUGUGAAGGUGGCCUGUGAGGGUUGCUGGAGGUAUCAGAAGUGCGAAUGCUGACAUAAGUAACGAUAAAGCGGGUGAAAAGCCCGCUCGCCGGAAGACCAAGGGUUCCUGUCCAACGUUAAUCGGGGCAGGGUGAGUCGACCCCUAAGGCGAGGCCGAAAGGCGUAGUCGAUGGGAAACAGGUUAAUAUUCCUGUACUUGGUGUUACUGCGAAGGGGGGACGGAGAAGGCUAUGUUGGCCGGGCGACGGUUGUCCCGGUUUAAGCGUGUAGGCUGGUUUUCCAGGCAAAUCCGGAAAACCAAGGCUGAGGCGUGAUGACGAGGCACUACGGUGCUGAAGCGACAAAUGCCCUGCUUCCAGGAAAAGCCUCUAAGCAUCAGGUAACAUCAAAUCGUACCCCAAACCGACACAGGUGGUCAGGUAGAGAAUACCAAGGCGCUUGAGAGAACUCGGGUGAAGGAACUAGGCAAAAUGGUGCCGUAACUUCGGGAGAAGGCACGCUGAUAUGUAGGUGAAGCGACUUGCUCGUGGAGCUGAAAUCAGUCGAAGAUACCAGCUGGCUGCAACUGUUUAUUAAAAACACAGCACUGUGCAAACACGAAAGUGGACGUAUACGGUGUGACGCCUGCCCGGUGCCGGAAGGUUAAUUGAUGGGGUUAGCGGUAACGCGAAGCUCUUGAUCGAAGCCCCGGUAAACGGCGGCCGUAACUAUAACGGUCCUAAGGUAGCGAAAUUCCUUGUCGGGUAAGUUCCGACCUGCACGAAUGGCGUAAUGAUGGCCAGGCUGUCUCCACCCGAGACUCAGUGAAAUUGAACUCGCUGUGAAGAUGCAGUGUACCCGCGGCAAGACGGAAAGACCCCGUGAACCUUUACUAUAGCUUGACACUGAACAUUGAGCCUUGAUGUGUAGGAUAGGUGGGAGGCUUUGAAGUGUGGACGCCAGUCUGCAUGGAGCCGACCUUGAAAUACCACCCUUUAAUGUUUGAUGUUCUAACGUGGGCCCCUAAUCGGGGUUGCGGACAGUGUCUGGUGGGUAGUUUGACUGGGGCGGUCUCCUCCUAAAGAGUAACGGAGGAGCACGAAGGUUGGCUAAUCCUGGUCGGACAUCAGGAGGUUAGUGCAAUGGCAUAAGCCAGCUUGACUGCGAGCGUGACGGCGCGAGCAGGUGCGAAAGCAGGUCAUAGUGAUCCGGUGGUUCUGAAUGGAAGGGCCAUCGCUCAACGGAUAAAAGGUACUCCGGGGAUAACAGGCUGAUACCGCCCAAGAGUUCAUAUCGACGGCGGUGUUUGGCACCUCGAUGUCGGCUCAUCACAUCCUGGGGCUGAAGUAGGUCCCAAGGGUAUGGCUGUUCGCCAUUUAAAGUGGUACGCGAGCUGGGUUUAGAACGUCGUGAGACAGUUCGGUCCCUAUCUGCCGUGGGCGCUGGAGAACUGAGGGGGGCUGCUCCUAGUACGAGAGGACCGGAGUGGACGCAUCACUGGUGUUCGGGUUGUCAUGCCAAUGGCACUGCCCGGUAGCUAAAUGCGGAAGAGAUAAGUGCUGAAAGCAUCUAAGCACGAAACUUGCCCCGAGAUGAGUUCUCCCUGAGACUUAGAGUCUCCUGAAGGAACGUUGAAGACGACGACGUUGAUAGGCCGGGUGUGUAAGCGCAGCGAUGCGUUGAGCUAACCGGUACUAAUGAACCGUGAGGCUUAACCUUACAACGCCGAAG